GACGAACGCUGGCGGCGUGCUUAAUACAUGCAAGUCGAACGGAAAGGCCCUGCGUUUGCGGGGCGCACGAGUGGCGAACGGGUGAGUAAAACGUGAGUAAACCCCCCCUGUCUUUGGGAUAAAUUUUGGAAACUGGGGCUAAUAUACGAUAGGAGAUCCUGCUGCAUGGUGGGGGUUGGUAAGUUUCGGUGGUUGUGGAUGGAAUAGCGGCUUAUCAGCUUGUUGGUGGGGUAGUGGCUUACAAAGGCUUUGAAGGGUAGCCGGCCUGAGAGGGGGACCGGCCACCAUAGUACUGAGGUACGGACCAGUAUCCAACGGUAGGCAACGGUCGGAAAUAUUACGCAGUGGGCGGGAGCCAGAGACGGCGGCGCCGCGAGCGUGAUAACGGCCUUCUGGUUGUGAACCACUGUCUCCUGUGACGAGGCCUGAGUGACGGUAAUUAGUAAAGAAGCACCGGCUAACUACGUG
rnacentral:rRNA from 1 species